UGCGCGGUAACUUUAAAUUUUAAAAGGUGAUAAUUCAGAUGUUUUGGAUAUUCCCGGCAAAAAUUUUUCCAACAAAAUAUUUUUUAUAUUUCUGCAGCUCCUAAAUAAAGUAUGACAAAGAUUAUUUACAAAGUAGUGGCCGCCACCUGCGGUUUCCCUUCCAUGAGACCUGGUGGAUCUGCCAACGCUAUGAGGUUUGAGGUUGCCAUUCAAGCACCUUGGACCCCAAUUAAAUAUAAGAGAAGACCCUUGGGUUCUUUGAUCACAUCACAAGAAUGCCAGCAAUAUGGAAAAACUCAUGGAAAGGUCGGAGGAAAGAGACACUGCGGACGUAGCUCAGGCCAAAUAACAGAAGUGGUUGAGACACAUCUACAAAGCAACCCACACAACAAAAAGUAAAAAAAGGACAAACAGUAUAAAAGAGUUGUAUCAAAAUGGAGGAGUUGUAUCAAAUACCAUGCUGUUUAGAAUGGGAUGUUGGUUUUCUAAUAACAUUGAUAUGUUUGCUUGAAACUUCCUAGCUACA